AGGAUAAAACGCUGGCGGCGUGCUUAAUACAUGCAAGUCGAGCGGCAGCAUGGUCUUCGGACUGAUGGCGAGCGGCGGACGGGUGAGUAAGGCAUCGGAAUCUGCCCUGAUGUGGGGGAUAACGUAGGGAAACUUACGCUAAUACCGCAUACGACCGAGAGGUGAAAGCGGGGGGACCGAAAGGCCUCGCGCAGCAGGAUGAG
rnacentral:rRNA from 1 species